rnacentral:rRNA from 1 species
CAUCUUUAAUAGGAUGUUACGAUUGUGUGAAUACAUAGCACAUUCGAGGUAGACGCAGAGAACUGAAACAUCUAAGUACCUGCAGGAAGAGAAAGAAAAUUCGAUUCCCUGAGUAGCGGCGAGCGAAACGGGAAAAGCCCAAACCAGCAAGCUUGCUUGUUGGGGUUGUAGGACUCCAAUAUGGUAGUUCUUUCAGAUAGUCGAAUGACUUGGAAAAGUCAGUCAAAGAGGGUAAAAACCCCGUAGACGAAAUGUGGAAGACACCUAGGAGGAUCCUGAGUACGGCGGAACACGAGAAAUUCCGUCGGAAUCCGGGAGGACCAUCUCCCAAGGCUAAAUACUCCCUAGUGACCGAUAGUGAACCAGUACCGUGAGGGAAAGGUGAAAAGCACCCCGGAAGGGGAGUGAAAUAGAACCUGAAACCGUGUGCCUACAACAAGUCAAAGCCCGUUAAUGGGUGAUGGCGUGCCUUUUGUAGAAUGAACCGGCGAGUUACGAUUGCAUGCGAGGUUAAGUUGAAGAGACGGAGCCGCAGCGAAAGCGAGUCUGAAUAGGGCGUUUGAGUAUGUAGUCGUAGACCCGAAACCAUGUGAUCUACCCAUGUCCAGGUUGAAGGUGCGGUAAAACGCACUGGAGGACCGAACCCACGUACGUUGAAAAGUGCGGGGAUGAGGUGUGGGUAGCGGAGAAAUUCCAAACGAACUUGGAGAUAGCUGGUUCUCUCCGAAAUAGCUUUAGGGCUAGCCUCGGAAUUGAGAAUGAUGGAGGUAGAGCACUGUUUGGACUAGGGGCCCAUCUCGGGUUACCGAAUUCAGAUAAACUCCAAAUGCCAUUCAUUCAUAUCCGGGAGUCAGACUGUGAGUGAUAAGAUCCAUAGUCGAAAGGGAAACAGCCCAGACCACCAGCUAAGGUCCCAAAAUAUAUGUUAAGUGGAAAAGGAUGUGGGGUUGCACAGACAACUAGGAUGUUGGCUUAGAAGCAGCCAUCAUUUAAAGAGUGCGUAAUAGCUCACUAGUCGAGUGACCCUGCGCCGAAAAUGUACCGGGGCUAAACAUAUUACCGAAGCUGUGGAGUACACCUUUAGGUGUAUUGGUAGGAGAGCGUUCUAAGGGCGUUGAAGGCAGAUCGUGAGGACUGCUGGAGCGCUUAGAAGUGAGAAUGCCGGUAUGAGUAGCGAAAGACAGGUGAGAAUCCUGUCCACCGAAUGACUAAGGUUUCCUGGGGAAGGCUCGUCCGCCCAGGGUUAGUCGGGACCUAAGCCGAGGCCGACAGGCGUAGGCGAUGGAUAACAGGUUGAUAUUCCUGUACCCGUUGUUUUUGUUUGAGCAAUGGAGGGACGCAGGAGGCUAAGGAAUGCAGACGAUCGGAAAUGUCUGUCCAAGCAGUAAGUCUGAAGAGGAGUCAAAUGCUUCUUUUCUUAAGGACAAGCUGUGAUGGGGAGGGAAAUAAUAGUACCGAAGUUCCUGAUGUCACACUGCCGAGAAAAGCUUCUAGUGAGAAAACAGCGGCCCGUACCGCAAACCGACACAGGUAGUCGAGGAGAGAAUCCUAAGGUGAGCGAGAGAACUCUCGUUAAGGAACUCGGCAAAAUGACCCCGUAACUUCGGGAGAAGGGGUGCUGAUCAUACGAUCAGCCGCAGUGAAUAGGCCCAAGCGACUGUUUAUCAAAAACACAGGUCUCUGCAAAAUCGUAAGAUGAAGUAUAGGGGCUGACGCCUGCCCGGUGCUGGAAGGUUAAGAGGAGUGCUUAGCGCAAGCGAAGGUACGAAUUGAAGCCCCAGUAAACGGCGGCCGUAACUAUAACGGUCCUAAGGUAGCGAAAUUCCUUGUCGGGUAAGUUCCGACCCGCACGAAAGGCGUAACGAUUUGGGCACUGUCUCAACGAGAGACUCGGUGAAAUUUUAGUACCUGUGAAGAUGCAGGUUACCCGCGACAGGACGGAAAGACCCCAUGGAGCUUUACUGUAGUUUGAUAUUGAGUGUCUGUACCGCAUGUACAGGAUAGGUAGGAGCCGUAGAAAUCGGAACGCUAGUUUCGAUGGAGGCGCUGGUGGGAUACUACCCCUGCGUUAUGGCCACUCUAACCCGCACCACUAAUCGUGGUGGGAGACAGUGUCAGAUGGGCAGUUUGACUGGGGCGGUCGCCUCCUAAAAGGUAACGGAGGCGCCCAAAGGUUCCCUCAGAAUGGUUGGAAAUCAUUCGAAGAGUGUAAAGGCAGAAGGGAGCUUGACUGCGAGACCAACAAGUCGAGCAGGGACGAAAGUCGGGCUUAGUGAUCCGGUGGUUCCGCAUGGAAGGGCCAUCGCUCAACGGAUAAAAGCUACCCUGGGGAUAACAGGCUUAUCUCCCCCAAGAGUCCACAUCGACGGGGAGGUUUGGCACCUCGAUGUCGGCUCGUCGCAUCCUGGGGCUGUAGUCGGUCCCAAGGGUUGGGCUGUUCGCCCAUUAAAGCGGCACGCGAGCUGGGUUCAGAACGUCGUGAGACAGUUCGGUCCCUAUCCGUCGCGGGCGUUGGAAAUUUGAGAGGAGCUGUCCUUAGUACGAGAGGACCGGGAUGGACUUACCGCUGGUGUACCAGUUGUUCUGCCAAGGGCAUUGCUGGGUAGCUAUGUAGGGAAGGGAUAAACGCUGAAAGCAUCUAAGUGUGAAGCCCACCUCAAGAUGAGAUUUCCCAUUUCUUUAAGAAAGUAAGAUCCCUGAGAGAUGAUCAGGUAGAUAGGUCAGGAGUGGAAGUACAGUGAUGUAUGGAGCGGACUGAUACUAAUCGAUCGAGGACUUAACCAA